rnacentral:tRNA from 1 species
GCCUUCGUGGUGUAACGGUGACACACUUGGCCUGUAUUCGAGAUGUCCAGGUUCAAAUCGCGGUGAGGGCA